rnacentral:rRNA from 1 species
GACGAACGCUGGCGGCGUGCUUAACACAUGCAAGUCGAACGGUAAGGCCCUUCGGGUACGACGAGUGGCGAACGGGUGAGUAACACGUGGGUGAUCUGCCCUGCACUUCGGGAUAAGCUUGGGAAACUGGGUCUAAUACCGGAUAGGACCACGGUCUACAUGGAUUGUGGUGGAAAGCUUUUUGCGGUGUGGGAUGGGCCCGCGGCCUAUCAGCUUGUUGGUGGGGUGAUGGCCUACCAAGGCGACGACGGGUAGCCGGCCUGAGAGGGUGUCCGGCCACACUGGGACUGAGAUACGGCCCAGACUCCUACGGGAGGCAGCAGUGGGGAAUAUUGCACAAUGGGCGCAAGCCUGAUGCAGCGACGCCGCGUGGGGGGAUGACGGGCCUUCGGGUUGGUAAACCUCUUCUAGCAGGGACGAAGGGUGGACUGACGGUACC